rnacentral:rRNA from 1 species
AUUGAACGCUGGCGGAAUGCUUUACACAUGCAAGUCGAGCGGCAGCGCGGGGCAACCUGGCGGCGAGCGGCGAACGGGUGAGUAAUGCAUCGGAACAUGUCCAUGUCGUGGGGGAUAGCCCGGCGAAAGCCGGAUUAAUACCGCAUACGCCCGAGAGGGGAAAGCAGGGGACCGCAAGGCCUUGCGCGAUUGGGUUGGCCGAUGUCCGAUUAGCUAGUUGGUGGGGUAAAGGCCUACCAAGGCGAUGAUCGGUAGCUGGUCUGAGAGGAUGAUCAGCCACACUGGGACUGAGACACGGCCCAGACUCCUACGGGAGGCAGCAGUGGGGAAUUUUGGACAAUGGGGGAAACCCUGAUCCAGCCAUUCCGCGUGAGUGAAGAAGGCCUUCGGGUUGUAAAGCUCUUUUGUCCGGAACGAAACGGUUGCGGUGAAUAUCCGCGACUACUGACGGUACCGGAAGAAUAAGCACCGGCUAACUACGUGCCAGCAGCCGCGGUAAUACGUAGGGUGCGAGCGUUAAUCGGAAUUACUGGGCGUAAAGCGUGCGCAGGCGGUUUUGUAAGCCAGAUGUGAAAUCCCCGGGCUUAACCUGGGAAUGGCAUUUGGGACUGCAAGGCUGGAGUGCGGCAGAGGAGACUGGAAUUCCUGGUGUAGCAGUGAAAUGCGUAGAUAUCAGGAGGAAUACCGAUGGCGAAGGCAGGUCUCUGGGCUGACACUGACGCUCAUGCACGAAAGCGUGGGGAGCAAACAGGAUUAGAUACCCUGGUAGUCCACGCCCUAAACGAUGUCGACUGGUUGUUGGGGGUUUGACACUCUCAGUAACGAAGCUAACGC